rnacentral:rRNA from 1 species
UGGGGAAUAUUGCACAAUGGGCGCAAGCCUGAUGCAGCCAUGCCGAGUGUAUGAAGAAGGCCUUCGGGUUGUAAAGUACUUUCAGUCGGGAGGAAGGUGGUAAGGUUAAUAACCUUAUCAAUUGACGUUACCGACAGAAGAAGCAACGGCUAACUCCGUGCCAGCAGCCGCGGUAAUACGGAGGGUGCAAGCGUUAAUCGGAAUUACUGGGCGUAAAGCGCACGCAGGCGGUUGAUUGAGUCAGAUGUGAAAUCCCCGGGCUUAACCCGGGAAUUGCAUCUGAUACUGGUCAGCUAGAGUCUUGUAGAGGGGGGUAGAAUUCCAUGUGUAGCGGUGAAAUGCGUAGAGAUGUGGAGGAAUACCGGUGGCGAAGGCGGCCCCCUGGACAAAGACAGACGCUCAGGUGCGAAAGCGUGGGGAGCAAACAGG